AUUGAACGCUGGCGGCAGGCCUAACACAUGCAAGUCGAACGAGUGGCGGACGGGUGAGUAAUGUCUGGGAAACUGCCUGAUGGAGGGGGAUAACUACUGGAAACGGUAGCUAAUACCGCAUACCAUCAGAUGUGCCCAGAUGGGAUUAGCUAGUUGGUGGGGUAACGGCUCACCAAGGCGACGAUCCCUAGCUGGUCUGAGAGGAUGACCAGCCACACUGGAACGGAGACAGGGGCCAGACUCCGAGGUGAGGCAGAAGGGGGGAAUAGUGCACAAGGGGCGUAAGCUUGAUGCAGCAAUGCAGCGUGUAUGAAGAGGGCCUUGGGGUGGUAAAGUACUUUCAGCGGGGAGGCGGUACCCGCAGAGGAAGCACCGGCUAACUCCGGGCCAGCGGCCGCGUUAUAC
rnacentral:rRNA from 1 species